rnacentral:misc_RNA from 1 species
AGAGAGAGAGAGAGAGAUAGAGAGCAAUGACUGGGAAAUUCACAAGGAAAAACAAAGAAAUCAUUGAGAAGAUAAAGAAAAGGUGACUUCAACUGAUUUUUCUUCAACAGCAAGCCAUUUUCUGUGACCAACGAAGUGCAUCCUGCUUUCCAAGUCAACCAAAUGUUAAAGCACCUAAUAGUAGUAACCACCUCCGUAUGGACGAUCAUUCCUGUAAUAAGGUGGAUAUGCACCAUAUUCAGGACCAUAGGAACCAUGUGGGUAAGGAUCAUUGCCUGCAUCAUAAGUAUCAUAAUAAUGUGUUCCAUGCAAUGAAACAGCUGGAUCAUUGUAAUCUAAUCGGGGACGGAGCCUACUAGGUUGUGCAUAAUCAGGAUCAUGGUCAGUCAUGAAAAAAGGCCGCUUCAUCCCAUGUGCACCAUCAUCGUAGAAAUAAGGGUCAUCACAGUGCCUUCCAACGUAAGGUCUAUCAAAGGCUUCUUCUGCAGAAAAUGGUUGCCUCCUAGAGGAAGCAUGGUUCCCAUGCCUUCUAUCAGAGGCAUCAAACCAAGGUCUAUUGAAAUUAUACCUUGAUGGGCCAGCAGCAGCAACACCUCUUCCAGCAGGGUGAUAACCACCUCUUAGAGGACCUCUUCUUCCUCCUCGUCCAAAGAAUUGCCUCCCAUUGAACAUGGCAUUUCGGUUAUUGAAAUCAUAUUCAUUGGGACCCAUUCUAGUAGAAUGACCAUGUCCUCGUUGAUGGAAACCCCUAUCACGCUGGAAAUUUGCCCAGUUGAAGUGGUGUCCACCCCGCCCAAAAUUCCUUCCAAAUCUUGAAGAGUUUCCAAUGCCAGCACGAUCAAUCAGAAAACCACCACACAUUCCACCCUUCACAGCCUGAGUUUUAGGCAUAGGAUUUGACAGCCUUGCUUUGACUCUCGUCUUUGAGUUCCCAUCACCCAAUUCUUUGUUGUUUAUUCUCUCAAUACAUGCAACAGCAGCUUCAUGGGAAGAGAAAUCAACAAACCCAAAAUCCUUCCUCUUGGCAGUUGACAUAUUUCGCGCCAGGACAAUUCGCACUAUCUCCCCGUAGCCUUGCAAAUGCUCUCUAACACGGUCUUCAUCCCAGUAAGGAGGAAGCCCAUCAAGAAAUACCGUCUUCACAUGAGCCAUAAUUUCUGGAUCAGGCUCACGUAUAGGUUCAGCAAAUGCUACUUUGGCAGUUCUCUCCGAAUGACCAAAUAUAACAUCUGGCUUCUGAAGCCUCUUGUAUGCAUGCAUGGCAUCAGCAUGGCAAGAGAACUCGAGGAAUGCAAAACCACGGCUCCUCCCUUCAUGUUGAACAUCUGGGACAAGAGUGAUGUUCUCAACACCUUCAACGCCAUAAUCUUUCAACUUUUGUCUAAUAGCUUCCUUUGUCCAUGUGUUGCAUAUGUUGCCCAAAAACAAAGUAUCAUUGUCCUCGCUUGGUGCUGUCCCACACCGCUUUCCACAAAUCACUGGGUUUUUCAUUUCGGACAAAGCACGUUUUGCAUGCUCCUUGUUUGCAAAUUUCACAAAUGCAUAUCCCUUACUCUUACUCAUCGAAAGAUUCCUAUGCAAACGAACUUCAACUACCUCACCAAUCUUCUCAAAAACCUUUCUCACAUCAUCUUCUGUGGCUUCUCUGUCCAGGCCACCAACAAAUAUUUCAUACUCUUUCUUUAUCUUGCGUUCCUUAGCAAUAGCUGUUAAUUCUUUGCGUUCCUCUUCUAGUGCCUCAGCUUCUUCAACAGGCUCCUCUGGAUCAUCUUCUACAAAGUCAUCCUCAACAUGAUCUUCAAAGUCCACUCGAUCACCAUACUCCUCAUAUCCCUCAUCAACACCGUACUCAUCCUGCACAGGUUGAGUAUCUUCUACCUGCAACUCACCUUUGCUAUUUUCUUCUGUGUCAACAGCCUCAAUUUUGUUCUCUUCCUUAUCAUCAAAUGUUUUUGUCUUAACCUCCUUCACUUCCUCUGAUUUGUCUGUACCACUGGGUUCUUCAUUUUUAGAGACCUCAGCAAUUUCAUGAGAAGCCAAGUCCACAACCAUUGCAGUUUGCUCCUUUUUGGGCUCUCCAACAAUUUCUGUUAUUGAUUGAUUCUCCUCUGCAGAUUCAAUUACAGACUCUUCCAGUUCCAUUGCAGCUUUUCCCUUCGCUAUGGAUUCUGCAACACUCUCAACAGGUUCUCCCACUUCAUUAGUAGUUUCUUCCUUCUUUGGGGAUUCUCCAACAUUUUCAGUAGCACAUUCCCCAUUAUUCAUGGAGACAAAAUCCUUCGCAUCCACCAUUUCCUCCUUUGAUCUUUCUUCAUCUUGAUCCUUUACAGAUUCAUCUGUCUUUGAUGACUGGCAAGAAGCAACUUUUGCUGCAGGAGUUUUAGUCUUCCCAGACGUUUUCCUAACAACCUUGACUACCUUCUUCACUACUGUUUUCUUGCGUGGGGUAACUUUUGCUUCAGGUGUCACCAAAGUUGCAUCAUUAGAUGCUUUUGUUUCUUCAACUACUGUAGACUGUUCAGGUUUUGAAUCGGAACUGAUGAUCGGCAAGGGUGAGGCUUCGUUGUUCUUUGCCUGCUUCGCUUUAGCUGCAGCACCGCGCUUCGUCUCGGCGGUUUUUGGAGUGGUUGAUUCCGUCACAGGAUCAGGUGUGGUUUUGGUGGCGGAUUUCCUCUCCGUCGUCGUCUUUUUAGGGGUCACCGAUUUGGUAGCGUCUCCAUUCCUAGUCCUCAUGUUCGUAUGUCGUUUAUGACUGAUUUUCUUCACU